rnacentral:rRNA from 1 species
GAGUUUGAUCCUGGCUCAGAUUGAACGCUGGCGGCAGGCUUAACACAUGCAAGUCGAGCGGAGAGAGGUAGCUUGCUACUGAUCUUAGCGGCGGACGGGUGAGUAAUGCUUAGGAAUCUGCCUAUUAGUGGGGGACAACAUUUCGAAAGGAAUGCUAAUACCGCAUACGUCCUACGGGAGAAAGCAGGGGAUCUUCGGACCUUGCGCUAAUAGAUGAGCCUAAGUCGGAUUAGCUAGUUGGUGGGGUAAAGGCCUACCAAGGCGACGAUCUGUAGCGGGUCUGAGAGGAUGAUCCGCCACACUGGGACUGAGACACGGCCCAGACUCCUACGGGAGGCAGCAGUGGGGAAUAUUGGACAAUGGGCGCAAGCCUGAUCCAGCCAUGCCGCGUGUGUGAAGAAGGCCUUAUGGUUGUAAAGCACUUUAAGCGAGGAGGAGGCUACUUUAGUUAAUACCUAGAGAUAGUGGACGUUACUCGCAGAAUAAGCACCGGCUAACUCUGUGCCAGCAGCCGCGGUAAUACAGAGGGUGCAAGCGUUAAUCGGAUUUACUGGGCGUAAAGCGCGCGUAGGCGGCUAAUUAAGUCAAAUGUGAAAUCCCCGAGCUUAACUUGGGAAUUGCAUUCGAUACUGGUUAGCUAGAGUGUGGGAGAAGGAAGGAGAAUUCCAGGUGUAGCGGUGAAAUGCGUAAAGAUCUGGAGGAAUACCGAUGGCGAAGGCAGCCAUCUGGCCUAACACUGACGCUGAGGUGCGAAAGCAUGGGGAGCAAACAGGAUUAGAUACCCUGGUAGUCCAUGCCGUAAACGAUGUCUACUAGCCGUUGGGGCCUUUGAGGCUUUAGUGGCGCAGCUAACGCGAUAAGUAGACCGCCUGGGGAGUACGGUCGCAAGACUAAAACUCAAAUGAAUUGACGGGGGCCCGCACAAGCGGUGGAGCAUGUGGUUUAAUUCGAUGCAACGCGAAGAACCUUACCUGGCCUUGACAUAGUAAGAACUUUCCAGAGAUGGAUUGGUGCCUUCGGGAACUUACAUACAGGUGCUGCAUGGCUGUCGUCAGCUCGUGUCGUGAGAUGUUGGGUUAAGUCCCGCAACGAGCGCAACCCUUUUCCUUAUUUGCCAGCGAGUAAUGUCGGGAACUUUAAGGAUACUGCCAGUGACAAACUGGAGGAAGGCGGGGACGACGUCAAGUCAUCAUGGCCCUUACGGCCAGGGCUACACACGUGCUACAAUGGUCGGUACAAAGGGUUGCUACCUAGCGAUAGGAUGCUAAUCUCAAAAAGCCGAUCGUAGUCCGGAUUGGAGUCUGCAACUCGACUCCAUGAAGUCGGAAUCGCUAGUAAUCGCGGAUCAGAAUGCCGCGGUGAAUACGUUCCCGGGCCUUGUACACACCGCCCGUCACACCAUGGGAGUUUGUUGCACCAGAAGUAGCUAGCCUAACUGCAAAGAGGGCGGUUACCACGGUGUGGCCGAUGACUGGGGUGAAGUCGUAACAAGGUAAC